rnacentral:lncRNA from 1 species
CAAUUGGUCUGUAAAAGUCUUUUGAAACCAAAUGCUAAGUCAGACUCAAACCUCUACUGGUCUACCUUUGCUUGUGUCUCUUCCCGUACUUAUCUGUGUCUGGCGGGUCGGCAGUCUCUCCGGCGGCGCAAAUGAGACACGAGGGGAGCCGACGCCAGCGACGGCAUCUGCGCAGAGAGGCAACAAUUUCGUUCUAUGUAGUUGCUCCCCAUUCUCUCCAGAUAAUUGAAUGCCCGCAUACAUUCUGCGCUGCUUAACGCGUAACGUUACUACUACGUCCCGCCUACGUAUUACCCCAACAGUGAAGUCGUUUAAGGUCGAUCCCAGGCAGAAACGGUAAAACCGAAGACCAGCUGGCUGUCACAAGGCAGCCAGCACAGGGGGUAUUCAGUUCUAUUUAUGACAUUUUUCUUUUGCAGAACAAUGUGGUCUCUUUAAGAUCUCGGUCCAUGGGGUUUUUCUCUAUGGCAAUAGACUGGAGGAAUUUCCUGAGCUAGAAGAACCUCCUCUCUAGAGUCCGCUCUUGAAGAAGGGCCGUGUUUCUGUAAGGAGACAGGCGAGUGUCGAGUUUCCGGUUUACCAGUCAGUGGAGGGAAGGUCCGUGUAUGAUGACUACAGCAAACAAACAGUGUGAAGUUUACAUUUGAAAAGGAGUGAAGC